GACGAACGCUGGCGGCGUGCUUAACACAUGCAAGUCGAGCGGUAAGGCCCUUUCGGGGGUACACGAGCGGCGAACGGGUGAGUAACACGUGGGUGACCUGCCCUCAGCUCUGGGAUAAGCCCGGGAAACUGGGUCUAAUACUGGAUAUGACUCCAUGACGCAUGUUGUGGGGUGGAAAGCCUUGUGCGGCUGAGGAUGGGCCCGCGGCCUAUCAGCUUGUUGGUGGGGGAUGGCCUACCAAGGCGACGACGGGUAGCCGGCCUGAGAGGGCGACCGGGCCACACUGGGACUGAGACACGGCCCAGACUCCUACGGGAGGCAGCAGUGGGGAAUCUUGCGCAAUGGGCGAAAGCCUGACGCAGCGACGCCGCGUGAGGGAUGACGGCCUGGU
rnacentral:rRNA from 1 species